rnacentral:rRNA from 1 species
GACGAACGCUGGCGGCGUGCUUAACACAUGCAAGUCGAACGGAAAGGCCCUGCUUUUGUGGGGUGCUCGAGUGGCGAACGGGUGAGUAACACGUGAGUAACCUGCCCUUGACUUUGGGAUAAAUUCAGGAAACUGGGGCUAAUACCGGAUAGGAGCUCCUGCUGCAUGGUGGGGGGUGGAAAGUUUCGGCGGUUGGGGAUGGACUCGCGGCUUAUCAGCUUGUUGGUGGGGUAGUGGCUUACCAAGGCUUUGACGGGUAGCCGGCCUGAGAGGGUGACCGGCCACAUUGGGACUGAGAUACGGCCCAGACUCCUACGGGAGGCAGCAGUGGGGAAUAUUGCACAAUGGGCGGAAGCCUGAUUCAGCAACGCCGCGUGCGGGAUGACGGCCUUCGGGUUGUAAACCGCUUUCGCCUGUGACGAAGCGUGAGUGACGGUAAUGGGUAAAGAAGCACCGGCUAACUACGUG